rnacentral:rRNA from 1 species
UACGUAGGGGGCUAGCGUUGUCCGGAAUCAUUGGGCGUAAAGAGCGUGUAGGCGGCUCGGUAAGUCCGCUGUGAAAGUCCAGGGCUCAACCCUGGAAUGCCAGUGGAAACUGUCGAGCUAGAGUCCGGAAGAGGCGAGUGGAAUCCUGGUGUAGCGGUGAAAUGCGCAGAGUAUCAGGAGGAACACCAAUGGCGAAGGCAGCUCGCUGGGACGGUACUGACGCUGAGACGCGAAAGCGUGGGGAGCAAACAGG